CGGGUAACUGGGGCUAACUCUCGAUAGGCGAAGAACUCUGGAAUGAGUCUUCACCAAAACAGUUUAAGGUUAUGCUCUUUAAACUUCUCAAGGAUGGGGCCGCGACCGAUCAGGUUGUUGGUGAGGUAAUGGCUCACCAACCCUUUUACCGGUGCGGGCCGUGGGAGCGGGAGCCCGGAGAUGGGCAUUGAGACAAGGGCCCAGGCCCUACGGGGCGCAGCAGUCGCGAAAACUUUGCAAUACACGAAAGUGUGACAGGGCUAUCCCAAGUGCCAUCCGAUGAGGAAGGCUUUUACCCAGUUUAGAACGCUGGGGGAAUAAGGAGAGGGCAAGUCUGGUGUCAGCCGCCGCGGUAAUACCAGCUCUCAGAGUGGUGUGGAUGUUUAUUGGGCUUAAAGCAUCGGUAGCGGGCUAAGUUAGUCCCCUGUUAAAUCCACCGAAUUAAUCGUUGGAUUGCGGGGGAUACUGCUGGUCUAGGGGACGAGAGAGGCAGACGGUAUUUCCGGGGUAGGGGUGAAAUCCUAUAAUCCCGGGAAGACCACCAGUGGCGAAGGCUGUCUGCUAGAACGCGCCCGACGGUGAGGGAUGAAAGCUGGGGGAGCGAACCGGAUUAGAUACCCGGGUAGUCCCAGCUGUAAACGAUGCAGGCUAGGUGUUUGGACGGCCACGUGCCGUUCUAGUGCCGCAGGGAAGCUGUUAAGCCUGCCGCCUGGGGAGUACGAUCGCAAGAUUGAAACUUAAAGGAAUUGGCGGGGGAGCAC
rnacentral:rRNA from 1 species